CCAUAGUACUGUCACCUUAAUGAUGGUCUGCUUCACCAGGUAAGCCAAAAGAAACUACAAAACAGAAAUGUUUGAGCAGCUGCCCCAGAUUCCAGCUUCACAUCUCAGGUUUGGUGAGAAGAGCUGCUGGUCCUAGCUGAUGUAGGUGGAGACACUUUCAAGAGAUCCUGGCUCUGCUGUCUCCCAUAUGAGGUUCUCAGAAUGAACACAGACUUCCUUAAAGCAACAUGUCCAGGCUGACUUCAGUCCUUCAUGUAGAAGACUCUCCCUGGUCUGAGAAGAGCAACUGUAUUUGAAUUUGCAAUAAAAGAGCUUCCUAUGUAGUUUCAACGAAAAUGAACUACUGGAUUAUCCUGGAGCCAAGGCAAUUACAGGAAAGUAGGUACUGGUGACAGACAGAGAGUCUACUGGGACCCAAUCAGUAUUCUGAGUUGGUGGUGAUCAGAAAACCUGAAAGAGCAUUGGAAGGAAGAAGAAGGCCAAGUUGAACUCAUCAACUCACUUCACUCACCAAUGACUCUCUUCAGAGUUAAAGCACUCCAUCCUGGACCGUGCCUCCUUUGAGGAUCAAGGAGUUCCAAGUUGAAGCAUUCCUUCCAGGAAGAGGUGGGAGGAUCAUGAGGUUCAGAAAGCCAACAAAAUUCAUAAGUAUGAGAAAGCUGAAGCGAAAUCCACAAAGACUACAGAACAGUAAACAGCUCCUGGGGGAAGAGACUCUCCCACCAGUUUAAGGGUCGGUACUGCAUGUUCAUGCAGAGAAUUCUAAGGAUAUAGGCUUCAUGAGUCACCACCCCCAGUGAUGUGUGGGUUUUCAGUGACUUGGCUGACAUUGAGUCAUCUCUGCUUCUGUAAGUAACCUCUUACCUAUACUGGGAAACCCCUAAUAAACUCAUAUAUUUUCCAAGUUUGAC
rnacentral:lncRNA from 1 species